rnacentral:rRNA from 1 species
GUCGAACGGACUUAUACUGAAACCUAGUGAUUUAUGAGUUAGUGGCGGACGGGUGAGUAACGCGUGGAUAACCUGCCGUAUACCGGGGGAUAACACUUAGAAAUAGGUGCUAAUACCGCAUAAGCGCACGGCUCCGCAUGGGGCAGUGUGAAAAACUCCGGUGGUAUACGAUGGAUCCGCGUCUGAUUAGCUAGUUGGCGGGGUAACGGCUCGCCAAGGCAGCGAUCAGUAGCCGGCCUGAGAGGGUGGACGGCUACAUUGGGACUGAGACACGGCCCAAACUCCUACGGGAGGCAGCAGUGGGGAAUAUUGCACAAUGGGGGAAACCCUGAUGCAGCGACGCCGCGUGAGUGAAGAAGUAUCUCGGUACGUAAAGCUCUAUCAGCAGGGAAGAUAAUGACGGUACCUGACCAAGAAGCCCCGGCUAACUACGUGCCAGCAGCCGCGGUAAUACGUAGGGGGCAAGCGUUAUCCGGAUUUACUGGGUGUAAAGGGAGCGUAGACGGCAGCACAAGUCUGGAGUGAAAUCCCGGGGCUUAACCCCGGAACUGCUUUGGAAACUGUGCGGCUGGAGUGCAGGAGGGGUAAGCGGAAUUCCUAGUGUAGCGGUGAAAUGCGUAGAUAUUAGGAGGAACACCGGUGGCGAAGGCGGCUUACUGGACUGUAACUGACGUUGAGGCUCGAAAGCGUGGGGAGCAAACAGGAUUAGAUACCCUGGUAGUCCACGCCGUAAACGAUGAUUACUAGGUGUCGGGGGACCAAGGUCCUCCGGUGCCGGCGCAAACGCAUUAAGUAAUCCACCUGGGGAGUA